rnacentral:rRNA from 1 species
CCUACGGGAGGCAGCAGUGGGGAAUAUUGCACAAUGGGCGCAAGCCUGAUGCAGCCAUGCCGCGUGUGUGAAGAAGGCCUUCGGGUUGUAAAGCACUUUCAGCGGGGAGGAAGGCGGUGAGGUUAAUAACCUCAUCGAUUGACGUUACCCGCAGAAGAAGCACCGGCUAACUCCGUGCCAGCAGCCGCGGUAAUACGGAGGGUGCAAGCGUUAAUCGUAAUUACUGGGCGUAAAGCGCACGCAGGCGGUCUGUCAAGUCGGAUGUGAAAUCCCCGGGCUCAACCUGGGAACUGCAUUCGAAACUGGCAGGCUAGAGUCUUGUAGAGGGGGGUAGAAUUCCAGGUGUAGCGGUGAAAUGCGUAGAGAUCUGGAGGAAUACCGGUGGCGAAGGCGGCCCCCUGGACAAAGACUGACGCUCAGGUGCGAAAGCGUGGGGAGCAAACAGGAUUAGAUACCCUUGUAGUC